UACGUAGGGUCCGAGCGUUGUCCGGAAUUAUUGGGCGUAAAGGGCUCGUAGGCGGUUUGUCGCGUCGGGAGUGAAAUCCACUGGCUUAACUGGUGGUUGCUUUCGAUACGGGCAGAUUGGAGGUAUGCAGGGGAGAACGGAAUUCCUGGUGUAGCGGUGAAAUGCGCAGAUAUCAGGAGGAACACCGGUGGCGAAGCGGUCUCUGGGCAUGUCCUGACGCUGAGGAGCGAAAGUGUCGGGAGGCGAACAGG
rnacentral:rRNA from 1 species